UACGUAGGGAGCAAGCGUUGUCCGGAUUCACUGGGGGUAAAGGGUGCGCAGGCGGAUCGGUAAGUCAGAGGUGAAAUCUCACAGCUCAACUGUGAAACUGCCUUUGAUACUGCUGAUCUUGAGUUAGGGAGAGGUUGAUGGAAUUCCGGGUGUAGCGGUGGAAUGCGUAGAGAUCCGGAAGAACACCAGUGGCGAAGGCGGUCUGCUGGGCAGUUGCUGACACUGAUGCGCGACAGCGUGGGGAGCAAACAGG
rnacentral:rRNA from 1 species